GUCUAUGGCCAUGCCACCCUGAACAAGCCCGCUGUCUGAUCUCGGAAGCUAAGCAGAGUUGGGCCUGGUUAGUACUUGGAUGGGAGACCACCUAGGAAGACCAGGUGCUGUAGGCA
rnacentral:rRNA from 1 species